AGAGUUUGAUCCUGGCUCAGGACGAACGCUGGCGGCGUGCUUAACACAUGCAAGUCGAGCGGUAAGGCCCUUCGGGGUACACGAGCGGCGAACGGGUGAGUAACACGUGGGUGACCUGCCCUCUACUCUGGGAUAAGCCUGGGAAACUGGGUCUAAUACCGGAUAUGACUACAUGUCGCAUGGUGUGUGGUGGAAAGCCAGUUACUUUGGUUUCUGGUGGUGGGGGAUGGGCCCGCGGCCUAUCAGCUUGUUGGUGGGGUGAUGGCCCACCAAGGCGACGACGGGUAGCCGGCCUGAGAGGGCGACCGGCCACACUGGGACUGAGACACGGCCCAGACUCCUACGGGAGGCAGCAGUGGGGAAUAUUGCGCAAUGGGCGGAAGCCUGACGCAGCGACGCCGCGUGGGGGAUGACGGCCUUCGGGUUGUAAACCUCUUUCGGCCCCGACGAAGCGUGAGUGACGGUAGGGGUAGAAGAAGCACCGGCCAACUACGUGCCAGCAGCCGCGGUAACACGUAGGGUGCGAGCGUUGUCCGGAAUUAUUGGGCGUAAAGAGCUCGUAGGCGGUGUGUCGCGUCGGCCGUGAAAACCUGCAGCUUAACUGUGGGCUUGCGGUCGAUACGGGCAUCACUGGAGUUCGGCAGGGGAGACUGGAAUUCCUGGUGUAGCGGUGAAAUGCGCAGAUAUCAGGAGGAACACCGGUUGCGAAGGC
rnacentral:rRNA from 1 species